UCAAACUUGGUCAUUUAGAGGAAGUAAAAGUCGUAACAAGGUUUCCGUAGGUGAACCUGCGGAAGGAUCAUUAAUAAAAUAAACUUGGUUAGAUUGUCUGCUGGCUUCGAGAAGCAUGUGCACAUCUAAUCCAUUUAUAAUUCCCCUGUGCAUGCUGCGUAGACCUUGUAAUAUCAUUCGAGUUUGGUAACGGACUCGGCUUAGAAAUUGCUGUAUUUUAUUAUUUUAAAACAGCUUUUUCUUGUGUUUUCAGGUCUAUGUCUAUAUAAUACCCCUUUUUGUUGAAUUGUGUGCAUCUUGGAAAAAAAAUCGAGUAAUACAAUACAACUUUCAACAACGGAUCUCUUGGCUCUCGCAUCGAUGAAGAACGCAGC
rnacentral:misc_RNA from 1 species